rnacentral:lncRNA from 1 species
AGGCGAUUCUUGACUUGCCGUGGCUGGCUGACCAAGACUGCUCGAGGGUUCCAGGAGUGAGAUCUGAGUGGGCUGAUGGGAUAGGAGGAGAGCACGGACCGGACCGAGAGAAAUAGGGUGCGGACCUGAAGCGUCUCCUCCAGCCUCACCUCCCUGGAUUGACAGGAGCAUCUGUGUCCUGCCCCUCUUCAAGAGACAAUUUUACACCCUAGUGCCUCUCCCAAUUUAACGUUAGCUCCCCUUAAGCGUGCUGCUUCUGUCAAAUGUAGGUUGGGAAGACACCAGAGAACAGACUCUAAAGCAAGUAACUAUACUUUUUGACUUUGCUCGCUCUCAUGAGAUUCCUUGCAGAGCAGUAGCCCUCGUGGUACAUGGCACCUUCAGGGCCGAGGCCUCCUCAGGGACACAUUCACACCAUCUCCCUACUCAGAUUAUUUUUAUAAAAGGUCAAUUCUUUAUCUACCCAUUGAGCAAUCGAACACUAAGCACUACUCUUGCCCCCCCCCCCAAAACUCUUGUGUUUCAUUCUAUCACAUUAUUUUAGAACUAAGGACAUGCCUUA